UACGUAGGUGGCAAGCGUUAUCCGGAAUUAUUGGGCGUAAAGCGAGCGCAGGCGGUCUUUUAAGUCUGAUGUGAAAGCCCACGGCUCAACCGUGGAGGGUCAUUGGGAACUGGGGGACUUGAGUGAAGAAGAGGACAGUGGAAUUCCAUGUGUAGCGGUGAAAUGCGUAGAGAUCGGGAGGAAUACCAAUGGCGAAGGCGGCCUUCUGGACUGACACUGACACUGAGAUGCGAAAGCGUGGGUAGCAAACAGG
rnacentral:misc_RNA from 1 species